rnacentral:pre_miRNA from 7 species
UUGUUUUGAAAGAACCUAGUAGGGAAACCCCCACUCAACUCCCGAUUUGGCGUGCACCCAAGAAUCACGAAUAGAACA